CAACGUCAGUAUAGCCGCGGCAGCCGAAGCGACCUGGUCAUCGGGAGCGACUUCGAUAGUAGCGCGUACAUCGGGCUAAGAAUCAGUACGCAGUUACUGCUGUUCUGUUUUGUUGGAUUUCCUCCGGUCACGUUUCAAACUUACCUUAAAAAAAAUCGUACGAAUCUUUUACAUGUAAAUCCGGUUUCCAGUUCUGAUUUAGUGAUAACUCGGGAAGAAGUGUUCAGUUUGAUCUACAUGUUCGUAAAAAGUGCUUAACAAUCAGUAGAUACAAAAAGACCUAUAUCAUUGGGAGUUUCGUGAAUUCUGUAGCUCGGAAAUUUUUCCAUGACCGGUGGUGCGCAGUGUCUUUGUAUCGUGACCAUCACGUGUCGAUGCUCCCGAACGGUCCGCGAUUCGUCUCGAUGAAUUUGAGGCUUUCAAUUGGUCAUCAUGGUCGCUAAUUCGUCGUAGUACUUAUACAACUUCCAACCACGAAAGGCAGAGGUUACAUGGCAUCGCACAAUUCGUUUACAGGUACUCUGAGAUGCUGUCGCCGCAGUUAUGACCCCCUGGACUUCCCCUGUUCAUCAGGGGGAGUCCAGGGACCCGUCCCCUGGGACUGCGCGGCCUCCCACCGCCCCCGGGGUCCCAGGGGACCCAGUCCCCGAGGACAUG